GGGGCCUUAGCUCAGCUGGGAGAGCACCUGCUUUGCAAGCAGGGGGGCGUCGGUUCGAUCCCGACAGGCUCCACCA
rnacentral:tRNA from 1 species